GACGAACGCUGGCGGCGUGCCUAAUACAUGCAAGUUGAGCGCUGAAGGUUGGUACUUGUACCAACUGGAUGAGCAGCGAACGGGUGAGUAACGCGUGGGGAAUCUGCCUUUGAGCGGGGGACAACAUUUGGAAACGAAUGCUAAUACCGCAUAAAAACUUUAAACACAAGUUUUAAGUUUGAAAGAUGCAAUUGCAUCACUCAAAGAUGAUCCCGCGUUGUAUUAGCUAGUUGGUGAGGUAAAGGCUCACCAAGGCGAUGAUACAUAGCCGACCUGAGAGGGUGAUCGGCCACAGUGAGACUGAGACACGGCCCAAACUCCUACGGGAGGCAGCAGUAGGGAAUCUUCGGCGAUGGACGAAAGUCUGACCGAGCAACGCCGCGUGAGUGAAGAAGGGUUUCGGAUCGUAAAACUCUGUUGGUAGAGAAGAACGUUGGUGAGAGUGGAAAGCUCAUCAAGUGACGGUAACUACCCAGAAAGGGACGGCUAACUACGUG
rnacentral:rRNA from 1 species